rnacentral:RNase_P_RNA from 1 species
AAACGAUACCACCAAGCCCCUAAAGGACUUGGAAAGGGUGAAAGGAGUGAGGUAAGAGCUCACAGCGACCGUAGGUGACUACGGGAGGAGGUAAACCCUGCCUACUGCAAGGAGACAACUAUCGGGUAGCCAGCCACGUUGUCGAUUAACCCGCUUGAUCCGCCGAGCAAUUGGCGGACUAGAUAGAUAAUCAGCACUCGCCUCGGCGAGUACAGAACCCGGCUUAUAGAUAGUCUGGGCUA